rnacentral:rRNA from 1 species
AGUGAACGCUGGCGGCAGGCCUAACACAUGCAAGUCGAGCGGCAGCGCGGGGGCAACCCUGGCGGCGAGCGGCGGACGGGUGAGGAAUGCAUCGGAAUCUACCUCGUUGUGGGGGAUAACCUCGGGAAACCGGGACUAAUACCGCAUACGACCUACGGGUGAAAGUGGGGGACCUUCGGGCCUCACGCGAUGAGAUGAGCCGAUGCCGGAUUAGCUAGUUGGCGGGGUAAAGGCCCACCAAGGCGACGAUCCGUAGCUGGUCUGAGAGGAUGAUCAGCCACACUGGAACUGAGACACGGUCCAGACUCCUACGGGAGGCAGCAGUGGGGAAUAUUGGGCAAUGGGCGAAAGCCUGACCCAGCCAUGCCGCGUGAAGGAAGACGGCCUUAUGGGUUGUAAACUUCUUUACUACGCGAAUAGAGGUUAGUACGAGAUAACUAAUAGGAAGGUAGUGUAGUAAAAAGCACCGGCUAACUCCGUG